AAAACCUCCUCCCCCUUCGGGUUUGAUUACUAUCGUUGGGGGGUUUUGGCCUAAUGGGAUAGCGAUUGGCAAUUAGUUUCCCAAUGUCCUAAAUAGACGUAGACCCGCCUCCAGAUGCGACAGCACCGAGGCCAUCAACCGUGGAGUUAUGGGAUAUAUAGGCUUGCAGUAAAAUGCUCACCUUUCUCCAUACGCCGAUGGCACACCGGUCGCAGUUGCGGGCGUAAAUUGGAGUCCUUUUCAGGACCCUCGUGGCCUAGCAUCCACCAUACACAA
rnacentral:misc_RNA from 1 species